UUCAGGAGGGGUGAGCCUGGCUCAGCAGAGAGUGCAGCUGAGGUCUGCCCUGAUGCUGUCCUAGUCGGAGGGGCAAGGAGCUGGGAGGGGACCAUGUGGCUGCCCGGAGCUCUGCUCCUGCUCAGCCUGGCAGGUCACUGCUCAUUGCUAGCUGCUACCUAACAGAGCGUAACAAGGGAUGAGGCCCCGAUGCCACUAGAACCCGGGCAGCCUCCAGGACAGACGGGAAACUACUCCAUGAACAACCACAGGAACGGGAUCCUAAUUAGAAGAUGUUGCCCUCCAGUGUGUAUAGUACAUCAGGACACCCUCCGCUGUCCUGUGGAUCAAAGAACAGAUGAAAAAUAAAAAUUAAAAAGUAGACUCCCAAUGCUCCCCAACUGUCUACACAAUAAAACCUAGCCCUGGUGUGGCCCAGUUGUCCCUGAUGGGCUUUGCCUGCCCGCCUCUCU